AGCGAACGUUUGCGGCGGGCUUAACACAUGCAAGUCGAACGAGAAUCCCUUCGGGGAGGAAAGUGGCGCACGGGUGCGUAACACGUGGAUAACCAACCCAUUGGUUUGGGACAACACCGGGAAACUGGUGCUAAUACCAGAUGUGUCGCAGCUGUCUUCAGGCGGUUGCGAGAAAGGCCCGCAAGGGUCGCCAACGGACGGGUCCGCGUCCCAUCAGCUAGUUGGUGAGGUAAUGGCUCACCAAGGCAAAGACGGGUAGCUGGUCUGAGAGGAUGAUCAGCCACACUGGAACUGAGACACGGUCCAGACUCCUACGGGAGGCAGCAGUGGGGAAUAUUGCGCAAUGGGCGAAAGCCUGACGCAGCCACGCCGCGUGAGCGAUGAAGGUCUUCGGAUCGUAAAGCUCUGUGGGGGGAAGGCUCGGAAGUUAAUACCUUUCGGGAUUGACGUUACCAGCAGAAUAAGCACCGGCAAACUUCGUGCCAGCAG
rnacentral:rRNA from 1 species